rnacentral:snoRNA from 1 species
UCCCUCCCGAUCCCUUUCCCAUCAGAUCUGAACACCGAUCUCGUGGUCGAAAAAGGAGGAAAACUAACAUUCACGCUGGUCUCGGCCUCUUUGCUGGCACAGUCCCGCUCCGAGAGAGGCCGGCUUGAGACAGUC